rnacentral:lncRNA from 1 species
AGGAGGGGGCCCCAGCCCCGACUGGCCUCAUCAGCGCACUGACCUGGUGCUGCACGAGGGAGGAUGCAAAAGCAGAACCCUCCCAUUUGGGUAUCUACAAAGCUGAAGACCCAAACUCCACUGCGUGCUGCGGUGGGUGGUGUGGCACAGAGUGGUGCCUGGCACCUGGUCCCUCCACUAAGCAUCGGCACCCCUCACUUCUGCCCCAGCCCUCUACCUACCC